rfam:Pterocles gutturalis contig106618, whole genome shotgun sequence.
UCAAAGGCUCUUUUCAGAGCCGCCCACGACAGUCAGAAAAGGUUGA